rnacentral:rRNA from 1 species
AUGAACGCUGGCGGCGUGCCUAAUACAUGCAAGUCGAGCGAACAGACGAGGAGCUUGCUCCUCUGACGUUAGCGGCGGACGGGUGAGUAACACGUGGAUAACCUACCUAUAAGACUGGGAUAACUUCGGGAAACCGGAGCUAAUACCGGAUAAUAUAUUGAACCGCAUGGUUCAAUAGUGAAAGACGGUUUUGCUGUCACUUAUAGAUGGAUCCGCGCCGCAUUAGCUAGUUGGUAAGGUAACGGCUUACCAAGGCAACGAUGCGUAGCCGACCUGAGAGGGUGAUCGGCCACACUGGAACUGAGACACGGUCCAGACUCCUACGGGAGGCAGCAGUAGGGAAUCUUCCGCAAUUGGCGAAAGCCUGACGGAGCAACGCCGCGUGAGUGAUGAAGGUCUUCGGAUCGUAAAACUCUGUUAUUAGGGAAGAACAAAUGUGUAAGUAACUAUGCACGUCUUGACGGUACCUAAUCAGAAAGCCACGGCUAACUACGUG